rnacentral:lncRNA from 10 species
GGAAAUAAGAUCUUAAUUGGCAUCCAAACUAACAACAGCUGAAAGCCCUAGAGCCUGAGCGUAAUUAGACCUCAAACUGAAUUAGCUGGCCCUUUCCUGUGGCACUCAGAGGCAACAGGUGCCCCAGGAUUUCUCCUCGGCUCCACUUCCUUGUUAAUGUUCCCAGGUUGCAGGGGAGGUGAAAAAGGGAUUAGAUUUCCCUGGUAACUCUCAUCCUGCAGUAUGGAUAUUUUAGAAACCAAUUAUGCGGAUCUCCCUGGGACACAGCCUUGGCUAUAAACAUCAGUCUUCUCAGGCCCUGAGUCAGGAUGUCGUCCAUCGAUACAACCAUCCAUGAUGCUGAUUGUAAGGUCUACAGCGAUGUGACUAGAACCGUAGUCCACAGACUUCUGCUACGGCAUCCCGCAACUACGAUCGUCCCUCUGCCGAGAGAUCAGCCAGCUAGCCAAGUAAGAAAAAGGAAAACAGCAGAGCUGAUGGCCAAUUGGAGGGUCUUCAAGUGUCCCACUACCCUUUCCAUUCCAUGAUGGAGAAAUGAGGAUGUAAUUUGCAGUGAAUAAUAACCUGGAUAUAGAACAGGAGGAAGCAUCUCCGAAGGCAGAGGCAGACAGGCAGUUUGGACAGGACGUGCAAAUUGUUCCUUACACCACACCAAACUGCAAACUGCAAUGCUUUUUUUUUUUUUUUUUUUUUAAGACAGAGUCUCACUGUGUUGCCCAGGCUGGAAUGUAGUGGCACAAUCUUGACUCACUGCAACCCCUGCCUCCUGGGUUCAAGAGAUUCUCAUGCUUCAGCCUCCCAAGUAGCUGGAAUUACAAGCGUCUGCCACCACGCUGGGAUAAUUUUGGUAUUUUUAAUAGAGACAGGAUUUCAUCAUGUUGGCCAGGCUGGUCUCGAACUCCUGACUUCAGAUGAUCCACCUACCUUGGCCUCCCAAAGAGCUGGGAUUACAGGCGUGAUCCACUGUGCCCAGACUACGGCAAUGCAUUUUUGGUGCAGGUCACCCUCGAGUGCUUUUUGGUGUGAGCAGCACAUGGACAAAGCUGCCGAAGGGCAGGAGUCCCUGGGUUUCUCUUGGGGGCCGGUUGCUCUCGGAAGUUCCUCUCCUUCACUCUCUAAAUAGCUGGUUUGUCCAACAUUCCUGUUUGAAAAACAUCCAGUGAACUAUGACUUUGAACAAGAAACAUUACACUUCAGUCCCAUCAGUCUAAGAAGUAGUGAAGAAUUAAAUCUUUCCACCUACAGGGUAUGUGAGGUGGUCAGGAAGAUAAUGAGGAUAAUUCUCAAACAACUUUUCUGCCUUCGAAUUGCCCGAGGAAGUCAUUUUUUCUCAUUUCUGCCUCUUUCUAGUUUUUUUCUCAUGAGAUAAGUGUGACAAGAUGGACUCAUGAAUAGGAGAAGCUGAGAGUCAUUUAUUGCCUCAAGUCUCUGGACUGUUUUAAGAAAUGAGAAACCAACUUCACUUAAAAACUAAUACAAGUCUAAACAUUCUCAGAUCUUUUUAGUAACUAUGUAAAUUUUAAGUCGAUUGGUUUAUGUACUGGACUGACUCAUUUUUUAAGGGGGAGGAAAAGGUUCAGGUGCAGAAGUCCUGGCUUCUACCAUGCCAAUGGGGACUAGCACCAGCAGUAAAUAAGGGAGUGUUAUGUGACCUAAUGCCAGCAGGUAACCUUCAUUUGCUGUUGCUAGACUAUUUAACAUAUUCUAAUUUAUAUCUGUAAUUUACUUCGGCUUCGCUCUAGAGAGUUUUUGGCUCCUCAUUAGUCCUGGAGUGACUGAAGCAAUAUACAUGUUCCCUGAAGAAGGGUCCUACCUAGUUCUUUUCCAUCACUCUAUCUCCUUGGCUAUCUUCUGUCUACAGUACCCUGUUUCUGUGGCUCCUUUACAAACUUUCUCUUAAGUUAAAAUCUCCUAUGUACUUAAACACAAUUACCACAUCCCUCCCUUCCAUCCAGAAAUUGCUUUAUGAACUAAUGAGCACACUAAAAAUUGCAGGCAAAUGACUAGCUAUAGGAAGCAGCUCAAAAUAUUUUAAUUAUUCUUGGUUAUAAUAAAAUCAACAUUCAUUGACACCUUACUUGUUUCCAACCAUCAGAUAUUUGUUAUCUCAUUUUAUUUUCACACCUGAAUGAAGUAGGGCACAUAUUCCACACUCCAUAGAUGGAAAAGAUGAGGCAGUUGCUACCUGGAAAAUGAAAGGAUUGGAUUUUAUUUUCUAUCAGUACCCAAGGGAUUUCUAAUCCAAGAUCAAAUUCUAAAUAUAGAAAUUUACAAAAUAAAUCUUCUGCUAGAAUAUAUAAUUCUAAAUAUAAAAUACUGUGGAAUGUUGGAGCUUGACAUCUUACCUGUCUCCUAACUAAAAGAAAAAAAAUGUAGAAGAAACAAGAGAGAAAAUAUAGGGAUAAGUGGUUCGCCCACAGCCAGUUAGGUAGAAACCAGAGUCUAAAUUCUGAGCUGCUCAUCUCUCAGAUUUUUUGCAACUGAAGAGUCUGGAAAUUUUAUGGCCAAUUUCAUUCAUCUUCUGAAUGUAUCUUUAGCUUUAUGGUUGGUCUGAGGAGCAGUCUCUUUGGGUAAUUCGUACCUGGGCCAGGGUGCAGAAGUUCAGGGCUGCUGUGCCCCUCGUGAAUGAACCUCACACAGCUGAAGCUUAAAAUCCUGAAGAGAGAGCUCCCGUGAGUCCUGCCUCUGUCUUUCUCACUCAUCCCCUUUGCUGGCCUUGAAACAGAUUUAAAGAGCCCUUAUGUUGACUGAAAUAGGAUAGGAAACGGCCAGCCACUUGACCUGAGAAAGAAUACCACACUAAUAGAAGCUGACUCCUCUGCACAAACAUUAUUUCUCUAUGUGAUAUGGUUUAGCAGAGUUUGUCUCCAGUGUCUAAAUGGACCCUGAAUGUAAUGCUGGUGUGUGUGUGUGUGUGUGUAUGUGUGUGUGUGUAUGUGUGUUGGGGGUGGGGUCAAGGGAAGAGAGAGAAAAAAAAAGUUUCUGUAUUCCUGUUCUCUGGAUGGAUUUUUUAAAAUUUGCUCUUUGGGAAUGAGGAAAAACAAUCCCACAACAGUAAUACUCCUUGGGCUCCAUAACUAUAAAUGCAAAGGAUUUCACCAGUGUCUUUAUUAGUCAUUAUUCCCCGCUGUGACAAAACCUCUCUGUCUACCUCCAGCAGAAAACGCAUUUAUCAAAGGCUGUUAAAAGGCAUUAGGUGUACAGAUUUGUUGCCUCUAGGUUCAGCCUUGGAAGCCCAAAUGCUCUCUCCUCAGCCUCCACUCCCACCCCAAUGGCCUCAUUGCUGUGGCUGAAAGCUAAAAGCCAGGGCUCUACCUGGCUGCAGCCACACCACCAGUGUCUACGCCACCUCUGCACCAGAAACUUAAAAUCACAACCUACUGGCAAUCCACCUUGCCCCAGCCCUGCCACUAUUUCUGGAUACUCCCAAGUUUGUCCCAACAGAAGAGGCGGAAACUUCCCCAAAUGGUUCUCACAGCUGGCUGAGCAUGGGAAUCACCCAUCCAGUUCUCUAGCCGGGGGUCCUGUCUCCUCAGGGUCUCUGAUCAUUAGUCAGAUUUGGAACCACUGCACAGGUGCUACCCUUGAGGUUCCUUGCAGCGAUGAAAAUCAUCUGGGCUGCCAGAAAACCAGGAGCUAACACCGAUCUCCAAUUCCAUGGCUCCUGUGAAGCAUGGCUCAUAUUAGCAUUCAUUUUUAAGGUAAAGGAGCUGUGAAACAGUUCAGUUGGAAAAAAGACCCAUGUAGCAAUCACUGCAGAGCCCCUGCUGCUCUACUUCCUGCAAAGCUGAACAUGCAUGCUUAAAAAACAGGAAGGACUGGUCAGGCAUGAAGACACUGCAGAAAUCUGAGCAACACAGAAACAGGUUCUGACUUCUGCCCAGAGAACCUACACUCCAGAAUGUCUUUAUUUGGCUGUAUGUGUAAAUUGAACCCAUCAUUGAGAGUCUAAAUGUUUUAAAAGAAAGUAAGAUGGGAAAAGGAAAAUUACUUGAUUCUUCAGUGCAAUUAUUUUAAAUUUAGUAAUUCCCAUUCAGGCAAACAUUCUGCAUGCCCAGGUGAAAGAUGUGUGUGUCUGUCCGAUCCCUCACUUGUUCAUCUUUCUAUACGAAACCGGACAUUUGUAUGUACUCAUGAUGAACAAAAUACAAGUUUUACAGUAGUUUAAUAUAAGGAAGCUUUGACAAAAAUAAUUAUGUUGAUGCUGGCAUUAUUUAUACUUUCCUUCUUCCCUGUCCCCCGACAAUUGUCUAAAUGGUGAAAGCUAAAAGUAAGGAGAUUUAGAAAAUACAAAAACCAUUAGAGAUAAUGACACAAACAAGCGAGAAAGAGAGAAAAAUGUCACAUCAAAUCUUUUCACCUAAAAUCAAGACAAGUAACAUUUAGACAAAUAUCUUAUUUUUAAUUAUAUAUGAGCAAAUAUGUGUGUCAUAAAGUGCUAUAUACAUUGCUGUAUUAACAUUGUAUUAUAGUUAUUUUCCACACCAUUAAGUAUUUUUUAAUCGACAACAUUUUAGGCAAUUGCACUAUUCGUUUAUAUGGAUAUACCAUUGUUACUUUAUCGAGACAUAUGGGUCACAGCUUGUGGGGGUUUCCUGUUUGGGCUGGUAAGCUUCUUAUGUCUAAGUACUUGCACAAGAAUCAUGACUUUAACAAAUAGACUUACUGAAGCUAAAAUCAGGAGGUUUUAAAAAUUCCUGCUAAUUAUUAACAAAUGAGAGUCAGAGGAAGAUGCAGUAAUACAUAUCCAGUAGAAACAGCUAUAGCCCAAAUGCUUGCGGGCCGUCAUCACUACCAUCUCACUCAAUUAAAACUAAAGAAGAAAACCUGUAACUUUGCAUCAGUUAGUACUGAUGUAAUCCUAGCAUUGGUACAUCUUUUAUGCUUAUUACAAAAUACUAUGAACUUGCUUAUUAGUCAUCUAUGAAUAUCAUUUUGUCAUUGUAUUGUAUUUUAUUGAUCUUAUCUUUACAUUCAUUGUAUGUUAUUUAUAAUUUUGAUCUAUUUACCAAUUAAUUUAUCAGUCACAGUUGCAGCAAUACAUUCGAGUGUUCAUUUAGAAAUCUAAAUGUCUCCUUUGCUGCUACUAUAACAUGAUAUCAUCUCUUGAUUUUAGGCUUAGAAAAUCUCACCCUGCUCACACACAUUUAAAAGAAAAACAUGAAAUAUUGCGCGCACACACAUUUCAAAAGCACAAUAUUAAAACAAGCGUCCUAUGUGCUCUACACAGCUGAGGAAACGGAAUCAUAUUAGUAGUAUCGACCAAUCACAUCCAUCAUUCUGCUCCAACAGCUAAACCAUUAUAAUCAAUUUUCUGCUUAGGAUUCUCUUAAUAUUAGCUUCGGUUGUAAAAUAUAUGCAUAAUUCUCUAGACAAUAUGUUGGUUUAUUUUGCUCAUUUAAAACAUUUAUGUAUAUGAAUCCUCUUCAGUUUUUCAUGCCUUUGUUUUCCAAAUAUGAUACAUUUUAGUUUCACUUAUGUUUAUGUAUAUGGUUGUGGUUUUUACAUUUUCAUUGCUAUAUACGUCAUUUUACAUAUGUAUAGCGCAGUUUAAUUAUAUAUUCUAAUGUUGAGGAAUACUUUAUUCUUUUCAAUAUGUUUCUAUUAUAAAACAUGUUGCUAUAAACACUGUAUCAACCAGGAGAGAAACAUUGCCAGUAGUGUGAACAUUUCAUGUGAAGAAUUGUUAACUAGUAAGACCUACUCUUAACUACUAUAAGGAAUGAAAGAGCGUGCUAAGGAGUACAAAAGUAGCAAACACAGAAAGCAGCAACUACCUCAGAGGACGAGGAACAAGGAAGAACCAGGCUGAGACCCCCGCCUCUUUGGAGAAGGCUUUACUGCGCAGGAGCAGUACCUGCUGGGAGAAGGGACUUGCUGGAAGACGUGGGUAGAGCCGGUCCAUUGGUCCAGUGCACCAAGAAGUCAAGAAGUUUUCAGGGGCUCAGGAUGCAGCUGGCCCAUCAGAGUCACAGAGAUUAAUGCUACUGAGCCUCUUGCACACCAACUUGCUGGCUGCCAUGCUACAAGCAGCACAAAAGCACCAAAAAAAGGGAGCACCUCUCCCCUGCGACUGUUUUACAGUGCCCCACCUAGCUCUGUCUAGAGACAGAGCCUCACUUUGAGACAGCAGCUAGAGAACUGUUCACAGGGCCCAUCUCCAUAUCACAAAGCAGGGUCAAGAAUGGCGGUCUCAGAGCUGGGUGGCAAUAACUCAUAACAGACGCAAAUCUCUUCAUGUUAAUCUAGUGCUCCUAAACAGGAGGUUCCAGGACACAUGCCUGGGAGAAGAGGUACUUGGUCAAAGCAUGUGUGCAUGUCAUCAUUUUUAAGAAAUGCUAAAUUACUGUCCAAAAUUAUUUUACCAUUUUAUAUUACCAUAUGUGAAAUGCUAAAUCACUGUGGCUUUAAUUUUCAUGUUUAUGAUGACUAAGGUCCCGUUUAUUUUCAUGUUUUUAUGGACAUUUCUAUUUUCCCUUCUGUACAAUGAUGGCUUAUGUUUUUUGCUCAUUUUCCUAAUGUGUGUGUGUGUGUGCACGCGUGUGCACGUUUGUCCUUUUUAAUUGGUUUUAUCAGUUUUUUAUGUAACAUGUUUAUAUAUUAUGAACUCUUUUGGGUUAUAUGUUUUGCAAAUAUCUUCUCCCAGUGGUUAAUGUCUUCAUGGUGCCUUUUGUUUAAUAUAAUUUAUUAAUUUUAUGUAAACCAAGUUAACAAUAUUUGUUUUCCUUUUAGUUUGGGCAUCACAGACUUGUUUAUGAACUCCUUUAUUUGGGAAACUAAAUAUUCUGCCACUUUUUCCUACCAUUUUUUAAAUUUUUGACUUUGCAUUCAAAUCUGUAAUCCAUGUGGGUUUAAUUUUUUUGGGAGAUAGGUACAUAGAAUAAGUAUAUAUUUUACUUUACAAAAUAAAUAUGAAUUAGUUGCUCUAGCACCAUUUAUUGAAGACGGUUUUGUACUGGCUUAUGUACAAUAAAACUAGUUUUUUCAUAAAUACAGGUUUUUAUUAUUUUAGGGCCAUUUAUUCUGUUUCUUUCUGUUCUGAUCUAUUUAUAUCAGUCAGUACCAGCCUAUACCAUCCUAAAUAUUGUAGAUUUAUAUUAACUAAUAAUGUCAGGAAGAAUGAUUCUCUCCAUCUGCUCCUUUCUCAACAAUAUACUGGCAAUUUUUGAAAUUCUAUAUAAUUUGAGAAUGUACUUGUCAAAUUCCAUGAAAAACUGAAUUCUUGAAACAAGGUUUGGGAAGAGUUGAAGUUUUUACAAGGAGUCCUUCAAUCCAUGAAUCUAAUACAUUUCUACAUUGAUUUGAGUCUUACUUAAUUACUUUGAAUAAAGGCUCAUUUUUUUUCCAAAAGGUUUGAAUCUACUGGUGGCAUCCUUCUGCUUGUGCAUGCUUUCGUAUUUUAACAGUGGUAUUUUCUAAAUGCUGUAGUCCAUGUGUGGAAACGCAGCUGAUUUUUCAUGAGGAUUUCAUAACUAGUCUGAUUGUGGUGUAAAAGCUAAAACCAGGGCCAUCUGGGGAAACCAGGAGGGCCUCCCCUGGCCUGACCGCAAGUCCCUCGCCUCAGUUUGCUUCAGUGGUUCCGCCCCCUACUCAAGCCACUCUUCUCACAAAUAGGGUCAGGUUUGCGCCCUGCUUGCCCCUGUAUAGAGGGCUUCAGCUCUCUGCCAGCCUGCAGAAUUAUUCAAAAAAAUCCAGUCAUGACAUCCCAUGGGAACCAGGGCACCACGCCCUCUUAUUACUGUAAAGCGGCCUCCCAUGGCCCUGCUGCUCCUGCUGUUUCCACGUGCAGCCCCUGUGGCUUCACAUAGCGUGAGGUCUUCCACUCCUGGGCUGUCUGCUGAUUUUUUUCUUUUGCUGUGCAGAAGCUUUUGGUUUAAUUAGGUCUCAUUUAUUUAUUUUUGUUUUUGUUGCAUUUGCUUUUGGGGUCUUAGUCAUAAGUUCUUUGCCUAGGCCAAUGUCCAGGAGGGUUUUUUUCUAGGUUUUCUUCUAGAAUUUGUAUGGUUUCAGGCCUUAGAUGUAAGUGCUUAAUCCAUCUUGGGUUAAUUUUCAUAUGUGGUGAAAGGAAUCCAGUUUCAUUCUUCUACAUGUGCCUAUCCAAUUUUCCCAGAACCAUUUCUUGAACAGGGUGUUCUUUCCCCAGUUAAAAAAACAAAACAAAACAACAACAACAAAAACAAACAAAAAACCUUGUGUUUUCUAAAAUGCAGAUCUCUGAUCCAAAACACAUUGAAGAAAAAUAGAGAUGUCCUCUCCAAAUUUUCUAACAUAGUUGCUUUCCAUCCUAAAAUGGCUGUAUUGCUCAAAUCCAGAGGCAUUUCCUAGAUUUUUUGUCCAUCUCUAAACAAAGUGUCUUUCAGGGGCCAUAUUGUCUUCCUGACACCUUGGAGUCAGACAAAGAUGAACAGUGCCUCCAUGUUUGGUAGCUCUCACUACAUUUUUGAUGUUUGAUGACUGACAGCUUCUAAGUCUCACCCCCCUCUCCCCUUUGUGUCCCACAACUGGGCAAGUUGAUAAGAAAACUUCGGUGUUCCUUUCUUUGAUGCCAGCAGAAAAUUCAAGCAACACAAGCCCCUUCACAUACAUGGGAAGCCCAUGGCCUCAGGCAAUGAACACAGUGGCCUCAGGCUUGAACCACCGUAAAACCCCAAGCCAGGGUCUUUCCCAUUCUUUCAAACCAUUUUUAGACAAGCUUGGGAGACAUCUCCUGCUCUCCCCUGGAAACCUCGCUUGUAAGUAACACAUCUUUUCCCACCCUCUGUUGUGUGUGUAGCAUCAUCAGCCUCCACAUCUGAACCAAGGUAUGGGUGGUGGUGGUGGUGGAGUCUUUCCUUUUUUUGGCAGGGUGGCAAUAAUACACGGGAAUUGCUGUGUCUAAUUGUAAAUGCCUGUUUAACUUUUAAAGAAAUUGCCUGUGUUUCAAGUGGCGAUGCCAAUUCCAUCCCCACAGUCAAUAUAUGAGAGUCCCAAUUUUGUCUUGCCAACCCCUAUUGUCUUUUUUAUUGUGGCCACUCUGUGGGAAAAUUGUGGUAUCACAUUCUGGUUUUCAUUUGCAUUUUCCUAAUAGCUCAUGAUGCCAGGGUCCUCAUU